UACGAAGGGGGCUAGCGUUGUUCGGAAUCACUGGGCGUAAAGCGCACGUAGGCGGCUUGUUAAGUCGGGGGUGAAAUCCUGAGGCUCAACCUCAGAACUGCCUUCGAUACUGGCAAUCUCGAGUCCGGAAGAGGUUGGUGGAACAGCUAGUGUAGAGGUGAAAUUCGUAGAUAUUAGCUAGAACACCAGUGGCGAAGGCGGCCAACUGGGCCGGUACUGACGCUGAGGUGCGAAAGCGUGGGGAGCAAACAGG
rnacentral:rRNA from 1 species